ACUACGGGAGGCAGCAGUGGGGAAUAUUGCACAAUGGGGGAAACCCUGAUGCAGCAACGCCGCGUGAGUGAAGAAGUAUUUCGGUAUGUAAAGCUCUAUCAGCAGGGAAGAAGAUGACGGUACCUGAGCAAGAAGCCCCGGCUAACUACGUGCCAGCAGCCGCGGUAAUACGUAGGGGGCAAGCGUUAUCCGGAUUUACUGGGUGUAAAGGGAGCGUAGACGGUGGGACAAGUCUGAAGUGAAGGCCCGGGGCUCAACCCCGGAACUGCUUUGGAAACUGCAUGACUUGAGUGCUGGAGAGGCAAGCGGAAUUCCUAGUGUAGCGGUGAAAUGCGUAGAUAUUAGGAAGAACACCAGUGGCGAAGGCGGCUUGCUGGACAGUAACUGACGUUGAGGCUCGAAAGCGUGGGGAGCAAACAGGAUUAGAUACCCUUGUAGUC
rnacentral:rRNA from 1 species